rnacentral:lncRNA from 1 species
GGCUGUACCAUCAGUUUUAAGCAAUAGGCUAUUUGGCAUAAUGUACUCCUAUCAGAGUGGCCUACCAAUAGAGAAAAUCCCAGAACAUUUUCACAUGGAAAUAGCCUUUGAUUUCUACAGGUAACCAAGGUGUGGUUCAAUCCAGGCCUACAGUAAUACAGGGGUGGUUCAAUGCAGACCUACAGUAACCUACAGGUGUGGUUCAUGCAGGCCAUACAGUAACCUAUAGGUGUGGUUCAAUGCAGGCCUACAGUAACCUAUAGGUGUGGUUCAAUGCAGGCCUACAGUAACCUACAGGUGUGGUUCAAUGCAGGCCACAGAACCUACAGGUGGUGGACUCUACUAAGUGGGUCAAGCAGCCUACAAGUAACCUACAGUGGUGGUUCAAUGCCAGCGCUACAGUACCUACAGGUUGGUCAAUGCAGCCUACAUUCCAUGAAGCUGGCUCCGCCUACAACAAAAUCAGACUCAAUCUCUUGCAUUGAAAGGGUCUGAUAAGUUGAUUCAAAUCAGAGACAGAAACGUUGAUCAUAUAGUGCAAACUAAUGGGGGUGAAGUCCAAUCUCUUGAGUCUGGUGCGGGCUGCAUUUCUUCUGCUCUGCUGCCUGGAGGAGGGAGUGGCCGCGCACAGCUUAGAGGGAACAGGAAGUUGACUUGGCGUGGUCAUGUGGCUUUCCAUUACAGUACAAAAUGGCAGUGUAUGUUAUCAAAGAGAGGUGAUGCGUGUGUCUGAUGGUCCACGUGAAUAGAGUUGUUCGACUUGUAGGAGUAAGUACUGCCAUCUGAGGUCCUCCCCCAUCAAAAUCCACUUAAACGCCCCUCUCUUCUUCUCUUGGUGUGCUGUUGUGUGUGUAGCUACGUGAUGCGUAUGAAGGAGUAUGAGCGGGAGCGACGGCUGCAGAUGAGGAGAAGAGGGUGGAGGAACCCAGGCAGCUUGAGCUCAUCAUCGUCAUCGUCAUCAUGACCUCUAACCCCUCUGUGUACAUACCUGCUGCUCUCCACAAUAAAGAGCUCCAGACUCUAGCCCUGAGCCACCCGUCUCUUUGUUUGGUUUCCGGUACGUUACGAGCCGGGGAACCACACAGGAACCAACGUGGAGGACCGACCCCAAUCUGUCCAAUAGAAAUGCUUGUUCUUGUUGAAUAAACACCCAGGUAGCAGGAGGGUGUGUAUCAGAGCAGGUCUGAGCCAGCUAUCUUGACAGUGGGGUGUGUAUCAGAGCAGGGUCUGAGCCAGCUAUCUGACAGUGGGGUGUGCAUCAGAGCAGGGUCUGAGCCAGCUAUCUGACAUGGGGUGUGCAUCAGCAGAGGGUCUGAGCCAGCUAUCUGCAGUGGGGGUGUGUAUCAGAGCAGGGUCUGAGCCAGCUAUCUGACAGUGGGGUGUGCAUCAGAGCAGGGUCUGAGCCAGCUAUCUGACAGUGGGGUGUGCAUCAGAGCAGGGUCUGAGCCAGCUAUC